rnacentral:rRNA from 1 species
UGGGGAAUAUUGCACAAUGGGGGAAACCCUGAUGCAGCGACGCCGCGUGAAGGAAGACGUAUUUCGGUAUGUAAACUUCUAUCAGCAAGGAAGAUGAUGACGGUACUUGACUAAGAAGCCCGGCUAACUACGUGCC